rnacentral:snRNA from 1 species
GACGGACCGGGCCUAAGUUCC